rnacentral:rRNA from 1 species
GACGAACGCUGGCGGCACGCUUAACACAUGCAAGUCGAACGAGAGAAGAGAAGCUUGCUUUUCUGAUCUAGUGGCGGACGGGUGAGUAACACGUGAGCAAUCUGCCUUUCAGAGGGGGAUACCGAUUGGAAACGAUCGUUAAUACCGCAUAACAUAGUUGAACCGCAUGAUUUGAUUAUCAAAGAUUUAUCGCUGAAAGAUGAGCUCGCGUCUGAUUAGCUAGUUGGUAAGGUAACGGCUUACCAAGGCGACGAUCAGUAGCCGGACUGAGAGGUUGAUCGGCCACAUUGGGACUGAGACACGGCCCAGACUCCUACGGGAGGCAGCAGUGGGGAAUAUUGCACAAUGGAGGAAACGCUGAUGCAGCGAUGCCGCGUGAGGGAAGAAGGUUUUAGGAUUGUAAACCUCUGUCUUCAGGGACGAAAAAAGACGGUACCUGAGGAGGAAGCUCCGGCUAACUACGUG